AUGAAAGGAGCAUAUGGAGGACCUCAUCAUCUGCAUGGAAUUCCCCUCCUUGACCUGAACUCUGCAGAACUGUCCCCUCACAACAGUAAUUACUUUUGGUGAGUAUAUAUCUCCUUAUUUUAUGACUUGUCUGAUGGUUAUUAUCAGAGGACCAUUGAAUAGGGUAAUUUCUGUUAUAUCUCCCCAGGAAUUUUGAAUGGUCUUGAUAUAUGUAUAGAAGAUAUCUUGCUGCAAAAG
rnacentral:lncRNA from 1 species